GACGAACGCUGGCGGCGUGCUUAACACAUGCAAGUCGAACGGUAAGGCCCUGCUUUUUUGGUGGGCUCGAGUGGCGAACGGGUGAGUAACAUGAGAGUAACCUGCUCGUGACUUUGGGAUAACUUCAGGAAACUGGGGCUAAUACCGGAUAGGAUGUCCUGCUGCAGGGUGGGGGUUGGAAGGUUUCGGCGGUUGGGGAUGGACUCGCGGCUUAUCAGCUUGUUGGUGGGGUAAUGGCUUACCAAGGCUUUGACGGGUAGCCGGCCUGAGAGGGUGACCGGCCACACUGGGACUGAGAUACGGCCCAGACUCCUACGGGAGGCAGCAGUGGGGAAUAUUGCACAAUGGGCGGAAGCCUGAUGCAGCAACGCCGCGCGCGGGAUGACGGCCUUCGGGUUGUAAACCGCUUUCGCCUGUGACGAAGCGUAAGUGACGGUAAUGGGUAAAGAAGCACCGGCUAACUACGUG
rnacentral:rRNA from 1 species